CCCAGUCCCCUUAGCGGCAUGCUGAUGCUCUCACGUGUAAUAAAGCCUCAGAAAGAAGAGCCUUCAAUAACUCAACGCGGGCUGUCCCAUUUGGAGGAGAGCGUGUAAAUAACGGCCUUCAUGCACGAGGAGGCCGAGAGCGCGCAGCUGGAGAGGACUUUGGGUCUGCGAGGUAGCACGGAGCGACGAUCCACCUUCUCCUUUCUGCGCCCACAAAGAGGGACCAAGUAAUGGCUUCCUCAUGGCCUCAAGACUGAUGGGCUGACAGAAGCAGCUCCUGUCCAUGGCUGCCCAGCAGGGUGCGUGACAGGAAGGGUGCAAAGUCCACAAAGAUCUCCCUCAGCAGCGGUGCCACCUUCUCCAAAGCCCUCUCCAGCUUUGACGUAAUACUGCAGCAGAGAAACCACAGUAUAAUAUCCAGCAAAUUCGUGUGUGUGUGGACCCGUCACACACACAUGCAGAGGCAUGGGCGCCACGGUCUGCACAGCUGGUAGAUUCUUACUGGUGGCGCCAUUGACGAGACCGGAGGAUGAGGGCGUGGAAGAGGAGGCGGCAGCGUCGACAGCUCCUGCAACAUUAGAGCAAAUGAAGGACAAGGAGUAAAUAUGGUGACAAAGUCGUGUUUUUUUUCUAUUUUGUUUCCAAAAUGUGUAACUCUUAGAAAAUAAACAAACAGUGCACUGCACAA